UAACUAAUAACCACAUGAAAACAAGAACACUCUCAGGUAACCAUUAAAGGUCACCAACGACUAAAGUAACUAGUAACCACAUGAAAACAAGAACACUCUCAGGUAACCAUUAAAGGUCACCAACGACUAAAAUAACUAGUAACCACAUGAAAACAAGAACACUCUCAGGUAACCAUUAAAUGUCAUCAACGACUAAAAUAACUAGUAACCACAUGAAAACAAGAACACUCUCAGGUAACCAUUAAAGGUCACCAACGACUAAAGUAACUAGUAACCACAUGAAAACAAGAACACUCUCAGGUAACCAUUAAAGGUCAUCAACGACUAAAGUAACUAGUAACGACAUGAAAACAAUAACACUCUCAGGUAACUAUUAAAGGUCAUCAACGACUAAAGUAACUAGUAACCACAUGAAAACAAGAACACUCUCAGGUAACCAUUAAAGGUCACCAACGACUAAAGUAACUAGUAACCACAUGAAAACAAGAACACUCUCAGGUAACCAUUAAAGGUCACCAACGACUAAAGUAACUAGUAACCACAUGAAAACAAGAACACUCUCAGGUAACCAUUAAAGGUCAUCAACGACUAAAGUAACUAGUAACCACAUGAAAACAAGAACACUCUCAGGUAACCAUUAAAGGUCAUCAACGACUAAAGUAACUAGUAACCACAUGAAAACAAGAACACUCUCAGGUAACCGUUAAAGGUCAUCAACGACUAAAGUAACUAGUAACCACACGAAAACAAGAACACUCUCAGGUAACUAUUAAAGGUCAUCAACGACUAAAGUAACUAGUAACCACACGAAAACAAGAACACUCUUAGG